rnacentral:ncRNA from 1 species
UUCGGCCUCGCACUGUUUCUCCAGUGCCCCCUGCACGCCGUCGCCGACGCACUCCUAAUUAGAAUCUGUGCGCGAUCCUAUCGCCUUCUAGCGGCGCGGC